UCUUGGGGUUCUGAAUUUCUACCUAACAAAAUGACAUAGCUGGUCUUGAGAAGAGGAAUGGAUCCAGCUUCUGAUUAUAGCCCAAGUAAGCUCUAGGAGGUUUUCCCUUCAGAAAAUGUGGGGGUCAAACACUCCAAGAAGUACUAAUUACUGUAAUCUAGAAUUCUCUCCCUCCUCAUGAAUAAAAGAAGAAAAUUCCUCAUGGCAGCUAUUUGAGAUUUGAGCUCUGAAGUUGGGGCAAGGUCUGAGUGCCAGCUCUCUUGUUUAUCCACUGUUUAUCAAGGAAUCACUGCCUCUCUUGGAGCCUGGCCUCCUCAUCUGUCAAAGGAGAAAGCUGUAAAUCCAAGAGUCAGGAUUCCAUGGACCUAGAUCUGACUGACCACAACCCAGGGGCAAGUGCACAUGGUACAGAGAACCUAAGGGCAGGCAGAGGAAGCUCAGAUCCCUUCUUGACAAAUGAGAUCCUUGGGCCCAUGGUGGCCCAUCUAUUGACAGCUGUUCUCCUGCUUUACGACCUCAUGGCACGUUUCUGCAGGGGACCUGUCCAAGCUCUCCAGUAUGCAUGUUGGAUUUCUGCGUGCUGCCUUUUGAAUUCUCUGAGUCCCAACACCUCAAGCCUAUAUAUUUGCUCUCAGAGACUUCUAUAAUUUAACCAUCAAUGUCAUUACUGAACUCUAUGACAAUUCAACCCAGCCAAACUCACCCGUGGAGGCCACUUCUUCCAAGAGAAGGAUUUUGAUGUCUUUGGACCAUUCCUCUUCUCUACUUCUUCCCCUUGCUGCCCCCCACCAGGCACAUUAGUGCUUGUUUCUUGAGCCCCCAUGCUCUGUCACUCAGGAGGCCAAGGACUGAAGAAAACAAAUCCAUAGACUGAAAUUCAGAGUCCUUCUGACCUGUUCUGGGAUUCUGCUCUUCUGAGCUGGGCCAACCUCCACCCACAGCCAAGGGAAAAACUAGGGGCUCUGGUCAAGACAGAAGCAUUUGCACUUGGACUUGCUGUGAAACACAUGUGCUUUUUGAGUAGCCCACCAGCCUGCUGUAACUUGAGAAGGGCAUGUGUAAGGAGUUUGGGUCUCCUUAGAUUUGGGGGUGGGGAUCUUGAGGGAGAAGGUUCCAGUUGAAUCAGA